CCUACGGUUGGCAGCAGUGAGGAAUAUUGGUCAAUGGACGAGAGUCUGAACCAGCCAAGUAGCGUGAAGGAUGAAUGCCCUAUGGGUUGUAAACUUCUUUUAUCAGGGAAUAAAACGAGGCACGCGUGCCUUUUUGCAUGUACUUUAUGAAUAAGGAUCGUCUAACUCCGUGCCAGCAGCCGCGGUAAUACGGAGGAUCCGAGCGUUAUCCGGAUUUAUUGGGUUUAAAGGGGGCGUAGAUGGGUUGUUAAGUCAGUUGUGAAAGUUUGGGGCUUAACCGUUAAAUUGCAAUUGAUACUGGCAGUCUUGAGUACAGAUGAGGUAGGCGGAAUUCGCGGUGUAGCGGUGAAAUGCUUAGAUAUCACGAAGAACUCCGAUUGCGAAGGCAGCUUACUAAACUGGGACUGACAUUGAUGCUCGAAAGUGUGGGUAUCAAACAGGAUUAGAUACCCUUGUAGUC
rnacentral:rRNA from 1 species